rnacentral:rRNA from 1 species
UACGAAGGGGGCUAGCGUUGUUCGGAAUUACUGGGCGUAAAGCGUGCGCAGGCGGCUUCUCAAGUCAGGGGUGAAAGCCCAGAGCUCAACUCUGGAAUUGCCUUUGAGACUGAGUGGCUUGAGUACGAGAGAGGUGAGUGGAAUUCCCAGUGUAGAGGUGAAAUUCGUAGAUAUUGGGAAGAACACCGGUGGCGAAGGCGGCCCACUGGAUCGGUACUGACGCUGAGGUGCGAAAGCGUGGGGAGCAAACAGG